rnacentral:lncRNA from 1 species
CUGGAUGGACUCUCCUCUAGCGCCAUACAGCUCGAAGUCACCUUUCUUCAAAAUUUUAAUUUUCUGUAGUUCAUGUAAAGAUUUGCAAAUGUGAAAACCACAGCCGGUAUCCAAUACCCAUGAAUUUGAAUUUGAAGAACUUAAUGACAAGUUGGCAUGUAACAUAAACAUACCUUUUGAUGCAACUCUUGCAUCGGUCUUCAUACUUGCAAGAAAACUCUUGCAAUUCCUUUUCCAGUGGCCAGCUUUGCC